CACGAUCCUUCUCAGCUACCUUGGCAGCAUUCUGUCAGAAACCAGUCAACAAACAGAACAGGGAAAAACAGCACCCUGAAGAAAGCAUCCAGGACCCAGCCCUUUAGACAAAAGGGAUCAGAUGGGGUCUUCUAGAUGGCCCCAUUCAGUCAGACACACCCAGUUAAGCAGCCCUGGAAAGGGACUCUAGAGAAUGCUAGAAGUACUGUGAGGCUCACAGAUGGCCUUGUGGACUACAGCACUUCAGAAGACAACAGUCUCCCAGCAAAAUGUUGCAUGCAGCACAGGCUCAGGAAUGGACAGACUGGCAGGCAAGGUACAACGAAGAAACUCAACGGGAGCUUGGGAGACAACACAGCAAGAAGGCAGCAGUCUGCACACCAGGAAGAGAGUCCUCACCAGAACCCAGCCCUGCCACACCCUGAUCCUGGACUUUCAGCCUCCAGAGCUGUGAGAAAUAAAUGCCUGUUGUUUCAGCA